AUGCAAGUCGAACGAGAGAUGAGGAGCUUGCUCUUCAAAUCGAGUGGCGAACGGGUGAGUAACGCGUGAGGAACCUGCCUCAAAGAGGGGGACAACAGUUGGAAACGACUGCUAAUACCGCAUAAGCCCACGGCUCGGCAUCGAGCAGAGGGAAAAGGAGCAAUCCGCUUUGAGAUGGCCUCGCGUCCGAUUAGCUAGUUGGUGAGGUAACGGCCCACCAAGGCGACGAUCGGUAGCCGGACUGAGAGGUUGAACGGCCACAUUGGGACUGAGACACGGCCCAGACUCCUACGGGAGGCAGCAGUGGGGAAUAUUGCACAAUGGGGGAAACCCUGAUGCAGCGACGCCGCGUGGAGGAAGAAGGUCUUCGGAUUGUAAACUCCUGUUGUUGAGGAAGAUAAUGACGGUACUCAACAAGGAAGUGACGGCUAACUACGUGCCAGCAGCCGCGGUAAAACGUAGGUCACAAGCGUUGUCCGGAAUUACUGGGUGUAAAGGGAGCGCAGGCGGGAGAACAAGUUGGAAGUGAAAUCCAUGGGCUCAACCCAUGAACUGCUUUCAAAACUGUUUUUCUUGAGUAGUGCAGAGGUAGGCGGAAUUCCCGGUGUAGCGGUGGAAUGCGUAGAUAUCGGGAGGAACACCAGUGGCGAAGGCGGCCUACUGGGCACCAACUGACGCUGAGGCUCGAAAGUGUGGGUAGCAAACAGGAUUAGAUACCCUGGUAGUCCACACCGUAAACGAUGAUUACUAGGUGUUGGAGGAUUGACCCCUUCAGUGCCGCAGUUAACACAAUAAGUAAUCCACCUGGGGAGUACGACCGCAAGGUUGAAACUCAAAGGAAUUGACGGGGGCCCGCACAAGCAGUGGAGUAUGUGGUUUAAUUCGACGCAACGCGAAGAACCUUACCAAGUCUUGACAUCCCUUGACGAUGCUGGAAACAGC
rnacentral:rRNA from 1 species